UACGUAGGGUGCGAGCGUUAAUCGGAAUUACUGGGCGUAAAGCGUGCGCAGGCGGUUCGUUGUGUCGGUGGUGAAAUCCCCGGGCUUAACCUGGGAAUGGCCAUGGAAACUGGCGAACUGGAGUGCGGCAGAGGGGGGUGGAAUUCCGCGUGUAGCAGUGAAAUGCGUAGAUAUUCGGAGGAACACCGAUGGCGAAGGCAAUCCCCUGGACCUGUACUGACGCUCAUGCACGAAAGCGUGGGGAGCAAACAGG
rnacentral:rRNA from 1 species